rnacentral:rRNA from 1 species
AGCGAACGCUGGCGGCAGGCUUAACACAUGCAAGUCGAGCGGGCAUCCUUGUGGUGUCAGCGGCAGACGGGUGAGUAACGCGUGGGAACGUGCCCUUCGGUUCGGAAUAACUCAGGGAAACUUGAGCUAAUACCGGAUACGUGCGAGAGCAGAAAGGUUUAUCUGCCGAAGGAUCGGCCCGCGUCUGAUUAGCUAGUUGGUGAGGUUACGGCUCACCAAGGCGACGAUCAGUAGCUGGUCUGAGAGGAUGAUCAGCCACACUGGGACUGAGACACGGCCCAGACUCCUACGGGAAGCAGCAGUGGGGAAUAAUGGACAAUGGGGGCAACCCUGAUCCAGCCAUGCCGCGUGAGUGAUGACGGCCUUAGGGUUGUAAAGCUCUUUUCUCCGGGACGAUAAUGACGGUACCGGAGGAAUAAGCCCCGGCUAACUUCGUG